UAUAUGUUACUACUACCUAUUGGAUAAGUAACUAAGAACUUUGUCGUUUAUUCCAUGUGAACAAAAUCCCUAAAAGCCCAUUUGUAAUAAUAUUCUUACUAAACACUGCUGAAAAAGGACUAAACUUCUGAGCUAUGAACGUAUAAUCCAGUAGCAUUAAGUAGCUUUUAUUUUCGGAACUUUAUUAACUACAAACUUGGCUAUUCAAACGGACUCUGAUUGAUUGCAAUAACGACAUACUCAGCCUGGGAUUUACUGUUUUUGUGUGGCUCGGCCAAGGCUCGGCUGGUGGUUCUAUGGUGUUAGAAAAUGAGCAACUUAAUUAUACACAACAAUGGGCAGCACCUCGAUCGGUUACAGCUCAUGAUCUUAUAUGCACAACAUGAU